rnacentral:rRNA from 1 species
CUACGGGGGGCUCCAGUGAGGAAUAUUGCACAAUGGGGGGAACCCUGAUGCAGCAACGCCGCGUGGAGGAUGACGCAUUUCGGUGUGUAAACUCCUUUUAUAUGUCAAGAAAAUGACGGUAGCAUAUGAAUAAGCACCGGCUAACUCCGUGCCAGCAGCCGCGGUAAUACGGAGGGUGCAAGCGUUACUCGGAAUCACUGGGCGUAAAGGACGCGUAGGCUGUUUGGCAGGUCAGAUGUGAAAUCCUAUGGCUCAACCAUAGAACUGCAUUUGAAACUGCCAGACUAGAGUAUGGGAGGGGGAGAUGGAAUUAGUGGUGUAGGGGUAAAAUCCGUAGAUAUCACUAGGAAUACCUAAAGCGAAGGCGAUCUCCUGGAACAUUACUGACGCUAAGGCGUGAAAGCGUGGGGAGCAAACAGGAUUAGAUACCCUUGUAGUC